AUUGAACGCUGGCGGCAGGCCUAACACAUGCAAGUCGAACGGUAACAGGAAGCAGCUUGCUGCUUCGCUGACGAGUGGCGGACGGGUGAGUAAUGUCUGGGAAGCUGCCUGAUGGAGGGGGAUAACUACUGGAAACGGUAGCUAAUACCGCAUAAUGUCGCAAGACCAAAGAGGGGGACCUUCGGGCCUCUUGCCAUCGGAUGUGCCCAGAUGGGAUUAGCUUGUUGGUGGGGUAACGGCUCACCAAGGCGACGAUCCCUAGCUGGUCUGAGAGGAUGACCAGCCACACUGGAACUGAGACACGGUCCAGACUCCUACGGGAGGCAGCAGUGGGGAAUAUUGCACAAUGGGCGCAAGCCUGAUGCAGCCAUGCCGCGUGUAUGAAGAAGGCCUUCGGGUUGUAGAGUACUUUCAGCGGGGAGGAAGGGAGUAAAGUUAAUACCUUUGCUCAUUGACGUUACCCGCAGAAGAAGCACCGGCUAACUCCGUG
rnacentral:rRNA from 1 species